CCUCCACCUUCGCUAGACCAAAGACGUUUCACAAAAAGCCUUCAGAAACCCUUCUUCCUGAAAUACAAGCGCACAUCUGGUUUCCUCUUUUUUUUUUUUUUUCCUCCCUCUAUUUGUCUCUAUUUGGCUUUCCGGAUUUCAUUUAACUUUUUAAAAACACCAAGGAAUGAUCUUUAGUUGGAAUAAAAGAGCAGAGAUAGAGUAGCCUUGAUGGUCCCCUUUAAGUGUUGCAGAAUGCAGUCUUAGGAUGCAAUUCCCAUUUUUAUACUUCAGAAAUGUAACUCUACUAAGCAAAUGACAAAGACAACAAGAAGCGAUAAGAGUUAGCUCAUUCUCAGGUGGAUUUUUACAUCUGCAGUGUACAAUCAGUGCGCAAAUCAUGGGACUUCCAGAAGCGUCAGGUUGGUUGGUCUCUCAGGAUGGCCCAAAUGGAGUAAAUGUGUGCUUAUGACUGUGUGCGCCUUGAGUACGUCGAUUUUAAAAUUAAUUGUAAGUUAUUCGAUGACCUCUCGUACAGAUUUUCAUGGAGAGCUUUUCUGUGAUGAAAGUGGGCAGAAUCAUUCAGAUUGGAGCCCAAUAUGAAGGGUGGUGUGGAUCAAGGCACCACGGUUCUUGAGAGAGGAAAAGUCCUGAACGUACAUAAGCAAUCAUGAAGAAAGGAACUGAUCC